CGGGUGAGUAAUACCUAGGAAUCUGCCUGAUAGUGGGGGAUAACGUUCGGAAACGGACGCUAAUACCGCAUACGUCCUACGGGAGAAAGCAGGGGACCUUCGGGCCUUGCGCUAUCAGAUGAGCCUAGGUCGGAUUAGCUAGUUGGUGAGGUAAUGGCUCACCAAGGCUACGAUCCGUAACUGGUCUGAGAGGAUGAUCAGUCACACUGGAACUGAGACACGGUCCAGACUCCUACGGGAGGCAGCAGUGGGGAAUAUUGGACAAUGGGCGAAAGCCUGAUCCAGCCAUGCCGCGUGUGUGAAGAAGGUCUUCGGAUUGUAAAGCACUUUAAGUUGGGAGGAAGGGCAUUAACCUAAUACGUUAGUGUCUUGACGUUACCGACAGAAUAAGCACCGGCUAACUCUGUGCCAGCAGCCGCGGUAAUACAGAGGGUGCAAGCGUUAAUCGGAAUUACUGGGCGUAAAGCGCGCGUAGGUGGUUUGUUAAGUUGAAUGUGAAAUCCCCGGGCUCAACCUGGGAACUGCAUCCAAAACUGGCAAGCUAGAGUAUGGUAGAGGGUAGUGGAAUUU
rnacentral:rRNA from 1 species